UGCUAGUGGAUGGUGGGUGCCUAUUUAGGCAAUCGCUUAUGGAGCUUGUUUGAGAAGUGGGGAAGAAGCUCCUGAUGAUGAACGUCAAAGAGAGCUCGAUGAUGAAUUAAGGGCUAAGGUCGUGGAUGAGCUCUUAAAGAGGCGGAAGGAAAUAGUAUAUUGAAGGAGAUUUUGAUGCAUAUGUGAAGAGAAUUCAGCAACCUUUCAUGUGGGGUGGAGAACCUGAGUUACUUAUGGCAUCUCAUGUUAUAAAAGUUGAAAGCAACUGUAAUUGAAUAUUGAAAGCAACUAUAAGUCGGGAGCACUGCGUGUGGAUACUAUGUCAUGAAGUAUAUGAGAGAAAUUGUAAAUAGGGGAAGCAUUGUCAUAUCGGAUUCGAUUGAUACACGAAAACCAUACUCACAAGCCGAGUUAGAUGAGGUGCGGGUUGAGUUGGUUGAGUUUUUGGGUUCGUACAAUGAUCUAGGACUUAUUUGUCAUCUCUGAAACAGGAAACUUUAUUUUUUG